GAGUUUGAUCCUGGCUCAGAACGAACGCUUGCGGCGUGCCUAACACAUGCAAGUCGAACGAGAAAGCCCUGCUUGCAGGGUAAGUAAAGUGGCGAACGGGUGAGUAACACGUGAGUAAUCUGCCUUAGGGACAGGGAUAACAUUCCGAAAGGGGUGCUAAUACCUGAUACGAUAAAGACUUCAUAUGGAGACUUUAUGAAAGGUGACCUCUUCUUGAAAGUUGCUGCCCUUAGAUGAGCUCGCGUACCAUUAGCUUGUUGGUGGGGUAAUGGCCUACCAAGGCUAAGAUGGUUAGCUGGUCUGAGAGGAUGAUCAGCCACACUGGAACUGAGACACGGUCCAGACUCCUACGGGAGGCAGCAGUGGGGAAUAUUGCGCAAUGGGGGAAACCCUGACGCAGCAACGCCGCGUGAGUGAUGAAGGCCUUUGGGUCGUAAAGCUCUGUCAGGUGGGAAGAGAACGGACGGUACCACCAAAGGAAGCACCGGCUAACCCCGUGCCAGCAGCCGCGGUAAUACGGAGGGUGCGAGCGUUGUUCGGAAUUACUGGGCGUAAAGCGCGUGUAGGCGGUCUACUAAGUCAGGUGUGAAAGCCCUCGGCUCAACCAAGGAAUUGCAUCUGAAACUAGUAGACUUGAGUACGGGAGAGGAGAGUGGAAUUCCCGGUGUAGAGGUGAAAUUCGUAGAUAUCGGGAAGAACAUCGGUGGCGAAGGCGGCUCUCUGGACCGAUACUGACGCUGAGACGCGAAAGCGUGGGGAGCAAACAGGAUUAGAUACCCUGGUAGUCCACGCUGUAAACGAUGGGCACUAGGUGUAGAGGGUAUUGACCCCUUCUGUGCCGCAGCUAACGCAUUAAGUGCCCCGCCUGGGAAGUACGGCCGCAAGGCUAAAACUCAAAGGAAUGACGG
rnacentral:rRNA from 1 species